GAAUUUUGGGCAAUGGGGGAAACCCUGACCCAGCAACGCCGCGUGAAGGAUGAAGUAUUUCGGUAUGUAAACUUCGAAAGAAUGGGAAGAAUAAAUGACGGUACCAUUUAUAAGCUCCGGCUAACUACGUGCCAGCAGCCGCGGUAAUACGUAGGGAGCAAGCGUUGUUCGGAUUUACUGGGCGUAAAGGGCGCGUAGGCGGCGCGGUAAGUCACUUGUGAAAUCUCUGAGCUUAACUCAGAACGGCCAAGUGAUACUGCAGUGCUAGAGUGCAGAAAGGGCAAUCGGAAUUCUUGGUGUAGCGGUGAAAUGCGUAGAUAUCAAGAGGAACACCUGAGGCGAAGGCGGGUUGCUAGGCUGACACUGACGCUGAGUGCGCGAAAGCCAGGGGAGCAAACGGG
rnacentral:rRNA from 1 species